CAGACGUGGCUGGGAAAUGUUCGCGGAGAAAGAGCGGGUCCUGUGGAGCCGAGAGCUGCUCAGGCGUAGUUCCUUUGGGACGGGGACCCGGUAGUCGGUGCCCCUGGCUCGGGACUGGUGGGUCAGGUCUCGCAGGCCCCGAAGUUUCGCAGGGCCUUGCCCUUUCGGAAGGGGCGGGGGGUCGCCUUUUCACCUGCGCCAGCUGUGGCCCUCGUGACGGGCGGGGUCGGGGUUCGGCACGCCCACCCCCCGGGCCCGGAUCUGCGCGGUGUCUUCGAGGGGCUCGGUCUCCCGGGUGAGGCGGCCUCCGGGCCUCGGAGCCCGGUGCUAGCGGCCCUGGUGGUCCCACGCGCGGCCUGGGGGUCCCGCAGGGAGGAGCGGAGGGGACUCGCCCCCGCCCCCCCCCCCCCGAGCCAUUGAGGGAGCAGAGCUGCAGUAGCGCCGGGAGGCAGCCUGCGAGAGGCCCCGGCGGGAGAGAACGUCCUAGAGAUGGAAUCUGACUCUGUAUAACCUCCUGGGGCUGGCUUCUGUCACUCAGCACCAGGCCUUGGAGACUCAUUUGUCUUGUAUGGCAAGGAAAAUACAGUCUCUCGGCUGAGAACCCUUUCACCCUCCUGAAACCAACAUAAAUCUGCCCAGAUCUGUGUCAUCACAUUCUUUAUCCCUCCCAUGUUAGUAGAGGGCUGUCUGCCCUUCUGUCUGCGCCUUGGAUCCCAUCCAUCCUACAUUUCCAAGACCUUUAAUUUUCCCUUCUCCCUCUUCAUAGUUUAUACACCUUUGCAACUGUACCCUUCCUAUUUUUUGCCCAGCUUUGAGGUGUAUUUUACAUACAAUUAUCUUCAUCAAUUUUAUUUGAAUGGUUUGAGUUUUAACAAUUGUUUAUGGUUGUGAAACAUCUACCAAAUCAAGAUCUAGAACUGUAUUGUCCCGAUUGAAGAACCCCCUAGCCAUAGGUAGCUAUUUAAAGUUAAAUUAAUUAAAAUGAAAUGAAAUUAAGCGCUCACCUCCUUACUUGUACUAGCAAUAUUUCAAAUCCUUAUGGCCACUGCUGUAUUUGACAGCCCAGGGACAGAAAGUUUUCCUCAUUUCCGAAGUUAUUUUGGACAGUUCUACUCAGUGCUUCUAUAGCUAUAGCUCACAAAUUUUGAUUUGUUAUGUAUGUUAUCAUUAUGUUCAAAAUAUUUUCUUACAUUUCUUAUAACUUGAUAAGAAGAUAAAUAAAGGGGCUGCUGGGUGGCACAGUCUGUUAAGCACCUGACUCGUGAUCUCCGCUCAGGUCAUGAUCUCGCAGUUUGCGAGUUCGAUCCCCACAUCGGGCUCUACGCUGAUGGUGCGGAGCCUACUUAGGAUUCUCUCUCCUCCUCUCUGUCCCUCCCCUGCUUGUGCCUGCACAUGCACUCGCGCUCUCUCUUGCCAAAUAAAUACACUUCUUAAAAAAUUUUUAAAAUAAUAAUUUCUUGAAUAAUUGAUUUAGCACUGUUUAGUUUCUAAUUAUAUGGGGAUUUUUCUGGAUAUCUUAUUGUGACUGGUUGCUAAUUCCAUUUUUCUCAGAGAAUAUAUUGUGAAUGAUCUCGGUCUUCUUACAUCUGAAAAAUGCCUUUAUUUUACUUUCAUUUUUGAAAGGCAUUUCCUCUGUAUAUACAAUUCUAAGGUGACAGGUGUUUUCUCUUUGUAAGUACUUUAAAGAAGUUCCUCCAUCGUCCUCUUGAUCGCAUGGUUUCUGACGUGUUGUCUGUGUUCUUCUGUAUGCAAUGUGUCUUUUUUCUCUCUGGCUG